CUGUCUAUACACCAAGUAUGAUUAUGCAGUCUAAAAUCUGAUUUACAUAUCUAUCUACAUAAUAUAUAAUACUUUCAAUAAUAUUCUUGUAUGAUUUGUAUAAUAUCAAAUCCUAUCCAAUGAUUGGUAACAAGGGCUUGCCAUAGUGAAAAAUUUAAUAGACCAUUAUUCCCAAAUAGCUUUUGGACCCAAAAUAAACAGGACAGCUGUUUAAAUAGACUCACACAAAACAAAAGCAACUGCAUGCUUUGUUGGGCUAUGCAUAUCUAACUCCUAACUAAAAGUAUCAGAAAACAGGAAGAACAGACAGCCCCCUUAACACUGUAAAGGUGCUGAUCAAAUAAGAAGUUAUUUCUUUCAGGUAUUUCCCAGGAAAUUAUGACAGAAAUGAUUGUUUCAUUCAACAUUUUGAACAAUUCAAAGGACUGUCAAAUAGAAAGUAGGCGUUUGACAAAUCCAGUGUUCAAAGGUUACAACACGUCAUUGUUACGCUUCUGUCAGACCAAAUAUUAAAUAUUUGUUGGAAGAAAGAACAGACAGACAAGGUGAUUGUAGUAUAGUCUCCACGCUAAGAGUGUGGACAUACAAAAAAUGUGUUCAUACGACACUAUGUUCAACUCACAG
rnacentral:lncRNA from 1 species